CGCCGCGUGAGCUCAGUUGGAAAGAUAGCGUAGGUUUCUGAAUCCUAAGGUCAUAGGUUCGAGUCGUACGCUUGGUCU